rnacentral:rRNA from 1 species
AUGCUUGCAGCAUCCGACACUGAUAGCACGGACCUCGAUGAGCCCGUAGAAUCCUCCAACACGAGAUCUAUCGACCUAGAUCCUUUCGACUAUGUCUACUCGAACAACCCAGACAACACGUACAUCCUGAAGCACGCGGCAAACUGCGAGCAUUGCAAGGCCAAGAAGUUCCAGUACGAGACUAACGGCUUCUGCUGUCGGAACGGGGAGAUUGAGCUAGCUGAACCCGAGCCUAUCCCAGAGCUCAUGAGGUUAUGGUCAAGCGCGGAUGCAGACUCUCGGCAUCGAGAGAGCAUUCGGUUCUUCAACGGGCACUUUGCCUUCACUACCCUU